UGCAGUCGAGCGAUCUUUAGGAGCUUGCUCCUAAAGAUUAGCGGCGGACGGGUGAGUAACACGUGGGCAACCUGCCUAUAAGACUGGGAUAACUUCGGGAAACCGGAGCUAAUACCGGAUAAUCCUUUUCCUCUCAUGAGGAAAAGCUGAAAGAUGGUUUCGGCUGUCACUUAUAGAUGGGCCCGCGGCGCAUUAGCUAGUUGGUGAGGUAACGGCUCACCAAGGCGACGAUGCGUAGCCGACCUGAGAGGGUGAUCGGCCACACUGGGACUGAGACACGGCCCAGACUCCUACGGGAGGCAGCAGUAGGGAAUCUUCCGCAAUGGACGAAAGUCUGACGGAGCAACGCCGCGUGAACGAUGAAGGCCUUCGGGUCGUAAAGUUCUGUUGUUAGGGAAGAACAAGUAUCGGAGUAACUGCCGGUACCUUGACGGUACCUAACCAGAAAGCCACGGCUAACUACGUGCCAGCAGCCGCGGUAAUACGUAGGUGGCAAGCGUUGUCCGGAAUUAUUGGGCGUAAAGCGCGCGCAGGCGGUCUCUUAAGUCUGAUGUGAAAGCCCACGGCUCAACCGUGGAGGGUCAUUGGA
rnacentral:rRNA from 1 species